UCCGUAGGGGGCAAGCGUUGUCCGGAAUCAUUGGGCGUAAAGCGCGCGUAGGUGGCUAUGUAAGUCCGUUGUGAAAGUCAAAGGCUCAACCUUUGAAAGCCGAUGGAUACUGCAUAGCUAGAGUACGGAAGAGGCGAGUGGAAUUCCUGGUGUAGCGGUGGAAUGCGCAGAUAUCAGGAGGAACACCAAUAGCGAAGGCAGCUCGCUGGGACGUUACUGACACUGAGGCGCGAAAGCGUGGGGAGCGAACAGG
rnacentral:rRNA from 1 species